rnacentral:sRNA from 1 species
GCUAACCAGCACAAAAGAUACUCAAUUUUUAUAUAUAAUACACAUCACAUCAAGCAAAGCAGAGUUUAAUUAAAAGUGUUUUUAUAGUGGGUAAAUUUUUCAUUCAAAUUAGAGUUAUUCAGAUCGCGUGCAGUGGGGAACUGAUCUUCAACACUAGACCGCAAUUGAAUACCACUGUUCUUUCCUCUGAAUUCUCUGCCAAGUGCCAACCUACCUACCUACACGCCUAUCUGCCGGCUCAAUAUCCGAUCAAUUGCUGCUGGAAUAGAAAAUGCUAGCUAUCUGUCUACCUACUGACCUCUGUCGGAAAUAAUAUCUCAUAUAUCAAGGAUCUCAUAACAUCUCGCUAUUUGAAAACUGAGCACUGCCCCUCUGAUAGAUUCAAGCAUUCUCUUCCUUAUAAAUACAGCCUAGUUAUCAUGUAAUUAUCGGAGUCAGAAUAGUCAAUUCGAUUAUCUAUCGAUAUUCAGAUUUUGGGUCAAUAUUCGGACAUUAUCCAGUUCCAACAACCUCUCUACCUGCUCGAUAUCCGAUCGAUUGCUAAUAGAAUGGAGAAUGCUAGCUGUCUACCUGCCUACCUACCUAUCUAUCUGCGUGAUAUCCGAUCUAUUACCAAUGGAAUAUAGAAUGCCCGCUAGAUAGCUAGCUACCUAUCUACAUUCUUACCUAUCAACCAACCUUUCUGCUCAAUAUCCAAUCAAUCUCUACGAGAAUAAACGUCGCUAUCUAGCCACUCAUCUAUCGAUCAAUACUAGCUUACUAGCAGACUAUCUAUAUACUGACCUUGAAUGAAUGAUAUCUAGCGAUGAUCUCCAGCGAUGAUAUCUAGCAAUGAUAUCUGUGAUGAUA